rnacentral:pre_miRNA from 1 species
CUGUAAUUUCAGAUUCCUCCACUUUUGGUCCCUCAUUUCACGUGCCAUGUAUGCAGAUUCUGCUGAUGUGGUGAAAUGAGGGACUAAAAGUGGAAGAAUAUGAAAUUACAG